CAGCCGCCGCGGUAAUACGGAGGGUGCAAGCGUUAAUCGGAAUUACUGGGCGUAAAGCGUGCGUAGGCGGUUCGUUAAGUCUGUUGUGAAAGCCCCGGGCUCAACCUGGGAAUGGCAAUGGAUACUGGCGAGCUAGAGUGUGUCAGAGGAUGGUGGAAUUCCCGGUGUAGCGGUGAAAUGCGUAGAGAUCGGGAGGAACAUCAGUGGCGAAGGCGGCCAUCUGGGACAACACUGACGCUGAGGCACGAAAGCGUGGGGAGCAAACAGGAUUAGAUACCCGAGUAGUCCCUGUCUCUUAUAC
rnacentral:rRNA from 1 species